rnacentral:misc_RNA from 1 species
CUAGCCUCAAGCAUAGCUUGGUGUUGGGUGAAGUCCUUAUGGGGACCUACCCCUAACUUAUAGGCGGUCAUCGCCCGCUUUCCUCCAGCGUAGCAAGCUUACGCAUUCGCUCGGGGACAGGCGAUUUGACUUGCUCAAAUAACCCUUUUAAAAG